rnacentral:rRNA from 1 species
UACGAAGGGGGCUAGCGUUGCUCGGAAUCACUGGGCGUAAAGCGCACGUAGGCGGAUCUUUAAGGCAGGGGGGAAAUCCUGGAGCUCAACUCCAGAACUGCCUUUGAUACUGGGGAUCUCGAGUCCGGAAGAGGUGAGUGGAACUCCGAGUGUAGAGGUGAAAUUCGUAGAUAUUCGGAAGAACACCAGUGGCGAAGGCGGCUCACUGGUCCGGUACUGACGCUGAGGUGCGAAAGCGUGGGGAGCAAACAGG